UACGGAGGGGGCAAGCGUUGUUCGGAAUUACUGGGCGUAAAGGGCGCGUAGGCGGCCUGCUAAGUCGGAUGUGAAAUCCCUCGGCUCAACCGAGGAACUGCAUCCGAUACUGGCGGGCUUGAAUCCGGGAGAGGGAUGUGGAAUUCCAGGUGUAGCGGUGAAAUGCGUAGAUAUCUGGAGGAAUACCGAUGGCGAAGGCAGCCUUCUGGCCUAAUACUGACGCUGAGGUGCGAAAGCGUGGGGAGCAAACAGG
rnacentral:rRNA from 1 species